AUACGGAGGGAGCAAGCGUUAUUCGGAAUCACUGGGCGUAAAGGACGCGUAGGCGGGUUUGUAAGUCAGGUGUGAAAUCCUACAGCUCAACUGUAGAACUGCACUUGAAACUACAGACCUAGAGUAUGGAAGGGGCAGAUGGAAUUAGUGGUGUAGGGGUAAAAUCCGUAGAUAUCACUAGGAAUACCGAAAGCGAAGGCGAUCUGCUGGGACAUUACUGACGCUGAGGCGUGAAAGCGUGGGGAGCAAACAGGAUUAGAAACCCUUGUAGUCC
rnacentral:rRNA from 1 species